UGGUUAAAGCGUAAGUCUCAUAAUCUUAAGGUCGCGAGUUCGACUCUCGCCGGAAGCA
rnacentral:tRNA from 1 species